rnacentral:rRNA from 1 species
UACGUAGGGUGCGAGCGUUGUCCGGAAUUAUUGGGCGUAAAGAGCUCGUAGGCGGUGUGUCACGUCGUUCGUGAAAACCUGCAGCUUAACUGUGGGCGUGCGGUCGAUACGGGCAUCACUGGAGUUCGGCAGGGGAGACUGGAAUUCCCAGUGUAGCGGUGAAAUGCGUAGAUAUUGGGAGGAACACCGGUGGCGAAGGCGGCCCCCUGGACCGGUACUGACGCUGAGGCGCGAAAGCGUGGGUAGCAAACGGG